rnacentral:rRNA from 1 species
CCUACGGGAGGCAGCAGCAACGAAUCUUCCGCAAUGCGCGAAAGCGUGACGGAGCAAUGCCGCGUGCAGGAUGAAGCCCCUCGGGGUGUAAACUGCUGUCAGAGUUCAGCAACACAAUGAGCAGACUCAAAGGAAGGGCCGGCUAACUUCGUGCCAGCAGCCGCGGU